rnacentral:rRNA from 1 species
GACGAACGCUGGCGGCGUGCUUAACACAUGCAAGUCGAACGGAAAGGCCCUGCUUUUGUGGGGUGCUCGAGUGGCGAACGGGUGAGUAACACGUGAGUACCCUGCCCUUGACUUUGGGGUAACUUCAGGAAACUGGGGCUAAUACCGGAUAGGAGCUCCUGCUGCAUGGUGGGGGUUGGAAAGUUUCGGCGGUUGGGGCUGGACUCGCGGCUUAUCAGCUUGUUGGUGGGGUAGUGGCUUACCAAGGCUUUGACGGGUAGCCGGCCUGAGAGGGUGACCGGCCACAUUGGGACUGAGAUACGGACCAGACUCCUACGGGAGACAGCAGUGGGGAAUAUUGCACAAUGGGCGGAAGCCUGAUGCAGCAACGCCGCGUGCGGGAUGACGGCCUUCGGGUUGUAAACCGCUUUCGCCUGUGACGAAGCGUGAGUGACGGUAAUGGGUAAAGAAGCACCGGCUAACUACGUG